UCGGGAAUUUUGGACAAUGGGCGAAAGCCUGAUCCAGCCAUGCCGCGUGAGUGACGAAGGCCUUAGGGUUGUAAAACUCUUUCGUCGGGGACGAUAAUGACGGUACCCGAAGAAGAAGCUCCGGCUAACUUCGUGCCAGCAGCCGCGGUAAUACGAAGGGAGCUAGCGUUGUUCGGAAUCACUGGGCGUAAAGCGCACGUAGGCGGAUAGUUAAGUCAGGGGUGAAAUCCUGGGGCUCAACCCCAGAACUGCCUUUGAUACUGGCUGUCUCGAGGUCGAGAGAGGUUGGUGGAAUUCCUAGUGUAGAGGUGAAAUUCGUAGAUAUUAGGAAGAACACCAGUGGCGAAGGCGGCCAACUGGCUCGAUACUGACGCUGAGGUGCGAAAGCGUGGGGAGCAAACAGGAUUAGAUACCCAGGUAGUCCCUGAGCGGGCUGGCAAGGCGCAU
rnacentral:rRNA from 1 species